AAGUCAAACUUGCCAAACAACAGGACUCAAGCAUUUCGCCCCGCAUUCAUGUUUUUCCUUUGAAAAGAAUAAAUUUUGUUAGACUUGCUUUAGAUGGUGGUAUUCAAGUGCCAAUGAAAUGAUGUUCAUUCCUUGACACUUAAUACCUUCAUCUAAACCAGCAUAACAAGAAUUUAAUCUUUUCAAAGGAAAAACAUGAACGUUGGGCAAAAUGCUUGAGUCAUGGUCGUUUGGCAAGUUUGAAUU
rnacentral:pre_miRNA from 1 species